UACGAAGGGGGCUAGCGUUGUUCGGAAUCACUGGGCGUAAAGCGCACGUAGGCGGAUCUUUAAGUCAGGGGUGAAAUCCCGAGGCUCAACCUCGGGAACUGCCUUUGAUACUGGGGAUCUCGAGUCCGGGAGAGGUGGAGUGGAAUUGCGAGUGUAGAGGUGAAAUUCGUAGAUAUUCGCAAAGAACACCAGUGGCGGAAGGCGGCUCACUGGACCCAUAACUGACGCUGAUGCACGAAAGCUAGGGGAGCAAACAGG
rnacentral:rRNA from 1 species